rnacentral:rRNA from 1 species
CCUACGGGUGGCAGCAGUGAGGAAUAUUGGGCAAUGGGCGCAAGCCUGAACCAGCAACGCCGCGUGAAGGAAGACGGCUUUCGGGUUGUUAACUUCUUUUAAGAGGGAAGAGAAGAAGACGGUACCUCUUGAAUAAGCCACGGCUAACUACGUGCCAGCAGCCGCGGUAAUACGUAGGUGGCAAGCGUUGUCCGGAUUUACUGGGUGUAAGGGGCGUGCAGCCGGGAAGACAAGUCAGAUGUGAAAGCUCGCGGCUCAACCGCGGAACUGCAUUUGAAACUGUUUUUCUUGAGUACCGGAGAGGUCAGCGGAAUUCCUUGUGUAGCGGUGAAAUGCGUAGAUAUAAGGAAGAACACCAGUGGCGAAGGCGGAUGACUAGACGGCAACUGACGGUGAGGCGCGAAAGCGUGGGUAGCAAACAGGAUUAGAUACCCUAGUAGUC